GUAUAAGCACAGAGGGAAGAGUUUAUUAAAUUAUUAUAUUCAUAAAGGCUGAAAAAUAAAAGCAAAGCUUUUUUUUGGUCAUUAUUAAACACAUACAUAUUUAGAAAAUUGGUACGUCUUGUACUCUGUGGAUGAGUACAUCUUAGCCUAAAGAGUCUACUGAUGGAGAAUCCUUACAAAAACAUUAUUAAAAUCAGUUUUAACCAACUCCGUGAAGAACAGAAGUCUGAAGCAUAACAAAAGAGCCUUGAAGACAUACACGCCUCAAAUGCAGCUAAAAACCCACUGCCUCGACAAGCAAAGUUUUGGGACAUGUACAGAAACACACUUCCUUGGCUAGUCUUAAGCAACAGGGCAUUUGUAGAGCCAUGACAUCAGAUUUCUUAACCCUGCUGCCCAGGGAAUCUUUUUCCAUCUGCAUCCUUACACUGGAGAUUGUGCCUCAGUAAGCCACAACCUUCAUCCUCAGUGUGCCAGGCUAUGGCAGAACCUGCAGAAAGCAACAGCCAGGCAACACGCAUACUUUAUAUGCCCUGACCAUAGGUGCAUCACCCAUGAAAGGUUCUUACGACCCUUAAGCUUAGUUUUCAGUGGGACACCAGUGGCUCAGGAGGAAAUCUCAAGGGUUUACCCAAAAGGGUAGCUGGAUGCCCCACUGUCAACGUGAGUGGGGCAUUCAACUAUUUAAUGCCUUAUAAACAUGUCUGUGUUUAGCAAUUGAGCUUUUUGAUGUUUGAUAAUUUUAUCAAGCUACCUUCUGAGCCCAGAAGCAAAGAUAAUGGAGAAUCAGCAUCAGUUUCUUUGAGGGAAGGCAAAAGGAGAGCAAGAUUUAUUCUUGCACAUUUGUUAUGCGUAUUUUGGGGAGUUAUACAACUUUAGUUUUGCAAAGCAAUUUUCUGAACUUUCACUGACAAACAAAUCUGAUCUGAAAAAUCUUACAUCAGCAGGGUUGGUUUGCAGAUGUUAUUUGCACCAUUUAUUUAUCAAAAAUAACUAGAAAAUGUUUUUAAAACAUCAUUCCAGACCGUACAAAUAGGAAUGUGACAUGGGCUGUCUGUUUUACUUAUACUGUUUUACUGCUUCAUAUUCUGAGCAAACAGAGAGGCUAUUUUCCCCAGGGGUUCAGGAGGGCAUACUAUUUCAUUUCUUCAGAAAAUUGUUUCUCUGGAUUUCAAUCUUUUUAGCUAGAUAUGACAAAAUAUAAUAUCAAGAACACUUAUGCUUUUUAUCAGCUCCAUUUUCAAAGCAUAAAUAAUAGAUCAGUAUAUAUUUAAGUCAGGUGACCAAGUCUUAUUUCAGAAAUCAAAUAAGCAUCUUGCAAUUUUUAAAUGACGCUGUACAUUUUCACUACAGUAUCAUUAUGCUUUUAAAAUGCUUUCAAAAGACCAAUUUAUAAGCAUGGAACGAUUCUGAAGAUAUUUCACUAGUGUUAAUAAUACCUCACUCAGGUGGCAUUCAAUUUUCUGAAUCCUUGGGUUAAUGAGGCAAAUAAAUCAAAAUUAAAUUGGCCUUGGGAAAAAAAAAAAAAA
rnacentral:lncRNA from 1 species